UAUUAUGCCCCCCUUCGAAGAAGAGGGGGUAUAUUGCUUUGCUCAUGUCGGUCGGUCGGUCGGUAGGUCGGUCGGUCCGUCCACCAGGUGGUUGUCGUAUGAUAACUCGAGAACGCAUAUGCCUAGGAUCAUGAAACUUCAUAGGUAGAUUGAUCAUGACUCGCAGAUGACCCCUAUUGAUUUUGAGGUCACUAGGUCAAAGGUCAAGGUCACGGUGACCCGAAAUAGUAAAAUGGUUUUCGGAUGAUAACUCAAGAACGCAUACGCUUAGGAUCAUGAAACUUCAUGGGUAGAUUGAUCAUGACUCGCAGAUGACCCCUAUUGAUUUUGAGGUCACUAGGUCAAAGGUCAAGGUCACGGUGACCCGAAAUAGUAAAAUGAUUUUCUGAUGAUAACUCAAGAACGCUUUUGCCUAGGAUCAUGAAACUUCAUAGGUACAUUGAUCGUGACUCGCAGAUGACCCCUAUUGAUUUUCAGGUCACUAGGUCAAAGGUUAAGGUCACAGUGACAAAAAACGUAUUCACACAAUGGCUGCCACUACAACUGACAGCCCAUAUGGGGGCAUGCAUGUUUUACAAACAGCCCUUGUUUAUCAAAAUAUAUGUAAGCAUAUUGAUACAUAUAACUUUGCUUUGAUUAAGUGUUCGUUUUAUUUCACUCUGCCUCUUCUUGCCAUGUUGAGGAUGGCCCGCACAUUGCCCCUGUACUGACCUGGGGGUUAUUUGUAUGGUCAAUGGGCUUGGAUGGUCAUGGAAGUAAGAAAGUGUAUGAUUUUAAAGGGAUUUAUUCACAGAUUUUGUAUUUAUUGUAAGUUAUUCCAUGAACUGUACUAUUUCCAUUGUAAUUCUAUCUAUUAAAAUAGAUUGCAAAUUCUUUAACCCAUUUAUUUUAUAUUGAUCCAUCGUUAUCUGCAAAUAAAGAUCCAUCUUUAUCAGUUAAGAAAAGGACACUAACAUAGGGCAUCAGCAAGAACUAAUUAAGA